rnacentral:rRNA from 1 species
UCUGAUUAAUUCUGCCAGUAGUCAUAUGCUUGUCUCAAAAAUUAAGCCAUGCAUGUCUAAGUAUAAGCAAAAUUUGUACAGUGAAACUGUGAAUGGCUCAUUAAAUCAGUUAUUGUUUAUUUGAUAGUACCUUACUACAUGGAUACCUGUGGUAAUUCUAGAGCUAAUACAUGCUAAAAACCUUGACUUUGGAAGGGGUGUAUUUAUUAGAUAAAAAAUCAAUGCCCUUCAGGGCUCUUUGGUGAUUCAUAAUAACUUGUCAAAUUGCAUGGUCUUGCACUGGUGAUGGUUCAUUCAAAUUUCUGCCCUAUCAACUUUCAAUGAUAGGAUAGUGGCCUACCAUGGUGGCAAUGGGUAAUGGGGAAUUAGGGUUCAAUUCUGGAGAGGAAGUCUGAGAAACAGCUACCACAUCCAAGGAAGGCAGCAGGUGCGCAAAUUACCCAAUCCUGAUAUGGAGAGAUAGUGACAAUAAAUACUGAUACAGGGCUCUUUUGGAUCUUGUAAUUGGAAUGAGUACAAUCUAAACAUCUUAAUGAGAAAUAAUUGGAGGGCAAGUCUGGUGCCAGCAGCUGUGGUAAUUCCAGCUCCAAUAGUGUAUAUUAAAGUUAUUGCAGUUAAAAAGCUUGUAGUUGAAUCUUGGGUCUGGCUGGCUGGUCUGCCUUGCAGUGUGCAUUGGUCUGGCUGGAUCUUUCCUUCUGGGAAAUUCUAUGGUCUUCACUGGCUGUAGAGAGAACCAGGACUUUUACUGUGAAAAAAUUAGAGUGUUCAAAGCAGGUCUUUGCUUGGAUACAUUAACAUGGAAUAAUAGAAUAGGAUGUGUGGUUCUAUUUUGUUGGUUUCUAGAACUGCUGUAAUGAUUAAUAGGGAUAGUUGGGGGUGUCAGUAUUUGGCUGUCAGAGGUGAAAUUCUUGGAUUUGCUGAAGACUAACUACUGCAAAAGCAUUUGCCAAGGAUGUUUUCAUUAAUCAGUGAAUGAAAGUUAGGGGAUCAAAGACAAUCAGAUACUGUCAUAGUUUUAAUCAUAAACUAUGCCAACUAGGGAUUGGACGGGCAACUUUGAAUAAUCUGUUUGGCACCUUACAAGAAAUCAAAGUUUUUGGGUUCUGGGGGGAGUAUGGUUGCAAGGCUGAAACUUAAAGAAAUUGAUGGAAGGGCACCACCAGGCAUGGAGUCUGUGGCUUAAUUUGAUUCAACACAGGGAAACUCACCAGAUUCAGACAAAAUAAGGAUUGACAGAUUGAGAGCUUUUUCUUGAUUUUUUGGAUGGUGGUGCAUGGCUGUUCUUAGUUGGUGGAGUGAUUUGUCUGCUUAAUUGCAAUAAUGAACAAGACCUUAAUCUGCUAAAUAGCCUGGCUCACUUUUGUGAGCUGCUGGCUUCUUAGAGAGACUAUUGGCUCAAGCCAAUGGAAGUUUGAGGCAAUAACAGAUCUGUGAUGCUUUUAGAUGUUCUGGACCACAUGUGUGUUACACUGAUAGGGUCAGCAAGUAUAUCAUCUUGACUGAGAGAUCUGGAUAAUCUUGUUAAAUUCUGUUGUGCUGGGGAUAGAGCAUUGCAAUUAUUGCUUUUCAAUGAGAAAUGUCUAGUAGACACAAGUCAUCAGCUUGUGCUGAUUACAUUCCUGCUCUUUGUACACACUGUCUGUUGCUACUACUGAUUGAAUGGUUAAGUGAGGUUUUUGGACUGGCUCAGAGAGAUUGGCAACAACCACCCAGAGCUGGAAAGUUGGUCAAACUUGAUUAUUUAGAGGAAGUAAAAGUUGUAACAAGGUUUCUGUAGGUGAAUCUGUGAAAG